ACGUCACAGUCGCUCUGCUUUUUUUCUUAUUCUUUUCCUCUUUUGUUUUUUUUUUUUUUGUUUUUUUUUAAUCCCCUUAACUAAAGCCAAAUUUUCGUUUGAGAGCCAGUCACGCUCUCUCUCUCUCUCUGUGUGAAAACCCAAAACUCCUUCCUUCUCUAUCUAGAAAGAAAAAGAAAGAAUCUGUUCCGGUUCUAGGGUUUUAAAGAAUGAGUCUUUCUUUGCCAGGGAACUAUGUGGGAUAUCUUGUUACUCCUUGAUUAGGAAAGAACACCAUAAUAAUAAUAAUAUUUUAGCAAUAUGGACACUGAGAGUCCACUUAGAAUGCCCUCCCAUGAGUCAGCAACUUUUGUUCCAUCAACUCCUAUUAUGGCAGUGGAGGAUUUGGGAUUUCUUAGAAACGGUCAAAGAUUCCGUGGCAGUGGGAGAGAUGCGGUCCCUAAUCGAAGUGGAAGUGCACCCCCAAGCAUGGAAGGCUCCUUUUUCGCAAUAAACAACCUCAUUUCUCAGCAAAAUUCCAACCUUAAUCCUAGGCUGGGGAGUUCAAACAAUGCUCUUCUAGCUUUCAACUCAGAGAAGCAGUCAUAUCUAUCUUAUUAUGGUACCGGUGCCAGCCCCAACCUCAGACUUCCUACACCACCCAUCCCAAGGGAGAAUCAGCAUCCGGGACGUCAUGCUGUAAAGUUUGGCACUAAUUGGGGAUUGGCUCCAAUAGAUGACAACAGUAAAAACUCCUUGCAUUUGUCACAAGGAGUACUUUCUACACACAAGGAAGAGUUGGAGGAUGACCACUCACCCAAGGAGCCCUUAGACAGUUUAGCCAACACGACAAAUGGGUUUUGGUCUGGAAGUGAUGCUGCUCCAUUGGCAGGGCAAUCCAAACGCUUGGUUGAUAUAAUUCAGGAGGAUUUCCCCCGUACUCCAUCCCCUGUAUAUAACCAGUCUCGCUCCUUAAGCCCUGGAACAACAGAUGAAGCAGCUGAUCAAGAUGUUUUUUUCGGUUCCUUGCAUGAUUCCACCGCUAGCACAUCCAAUGGCGUUCCAUCAAUUCUAGGAACCACACAACCCAAACCACCUCUCAGCAAAGGAUUUUUAAAUAGGGUAGGCGUUGGCGUUAUUGAAUCUAGAAUGAAGGACCUUAAUAUAUCUAGCCCUCAGAAUCCCAAGGAGCAAAAAUAUCAAGAGCAGUGGCAUCACAGCUACCAGAGCCAUGUGCAGCAACACCAAGUCCACCAACAGCCAAGCAAUGUGUUUCAAGUUCAAAAUGCCAAGUCUCAAAUGGGUUCUCAAGGAGUAAAUUCUGCACAAAUCAGCAUGGAUCAACUUCUCCAUGGCCCAUCAACGUUCUCAGCGGAGGUGCAGUCGGUAUUGCAGUCGCUUGGGUUCACACCUUCUCUUUAUGGGACAACUGGCUACAUGACUUCACCAAAUCCAUUUUACCCAAAUCUUCAGGCUCCAGGAUUAUGUGCUCCACAAUAUGGUAUAGGGGGGUAUGCUCUGAAUUCAACUGUGAUUCCUCCUUAUGUUGCAGGAUACCCCCCUCAGGGUACGGUUUCAAUGGUUUUUGAUGGCUCUGCAAGUCCAAACUUUAAUGCUGGAAUGUCUGGGUCUUCAAGUGAUGGAAGCCUUGCCCACGGAGCUGAUGUGCAACAUUAUAACAAGUUCUAUGGGCAGCUUGGAUAUGUAGUUCAACCUUCAUUUAUUGAUCCUCUUUAUAUGCAAUACUAUCAACAGCCUUAUGGACUAACAUAUAAUAUGUCUGGUCAAUUUGAUCCAUUGGCAUCUGGAGGUGGUGCUAUUGGGAGACAAAACAAUGCUCCUGCAUCAAAGAAAGGAUACGAGGUUGCUGCUGGUUUGGAGGACCAGAAACUGCUACACCACCAGAGAGGUGGAGUGAGUGAUCUUAAUCGAGGCAGAGGGCGGGUAAUGAAUCUUCCUUAUUUUGGAAACUCACCAAACAUAGGUUUAUUGCAGUACCCCUCAUCACCGCUUGCGAGCCCUGUUUUGCCAGGAUCCCCAGUGGGGGGCACUGGUUUUUCUGGAGGGAGAAAUGAAAUGAGGUUCCCACCAGGAAGUGGUAGAUAUGCGUCUGUAUGUUCUGGAUGGCAAGGUCAAAGAGGACCAGAGAGUUUUAAUGAUCCUAAAAUACAUAAUUUUCUUGAGGAGUUGAAAUCUGGCAAAGUCCGCAGAUUUGAGUUGUCUGAUAUUGUAGGGCAUAUUGUCGAAUUUAGUGCUGAUCAACAUGGUAGCCGAUUUAUUCAGCAGAAGUUGGAGAAUUGCAGUGCUGAAGAGAAGGCAUUGGUAUUUAAAGAAGUUCUUCCACAUGCUUCCAAAUUAAUGACCGAUGUUUUUGGAAAUUAUCUUAUUCAGAAAGUUUUUGAGUAUGGAAGCAUGGAGCAGAGGAAGGAACUUGCUAAUCAGCUCACUGGUCAAAUUUUGCAUCUAAGUUUGCAGAUGUAUGGCUGUCGGGUAAUCCAAAAGGCACUUGAUGUAAUCGAGCUUGAUCAAAAAGCACAGCUUGUCCUUGAAUUGGAUGGACAUGUUAUGAAAUGUGUACGUGAUCAGAACGGUAAUCAUGUCAUACAGAAGUGCAUUGAGAGUGUUCCAGCAGAAAAAAUUGGAUUCAUAUUCUCAGCCUUCUGUGGUGAAGUUGCAACACUUUCCAUGCAUCCUUAUGGUUGUCGUGUCAUACAGAGAGUUCUGGAGCAUUGUGCAUAUGAGCUGCAAUGUGAGUUCAUAGUGGAUGAGAUCUUGGAGUCUGUCCUCAUUCUUGCUCAGGACCAGUAUGGAAAUUAUGUGACUCAGCAUGUAUUGGAGAGGGGAAAACCUCGAGAAAGAUACCAGAUUAUUAGCAAAUUGUCAGGGCAUAUUGUUCUACUCAGCCAGCAUAAGUUUGGGUCCAAUGUUGUAGAGAAAUGUUUGGAAUAUGGUGGUGCCACUGAGCGGGAAAUAAUAAUUCAGGAGAUUCUUGGGCAGAAUGAAGGAAAUGAUAAUCUAUUGACAAUGAUGAAGGACCAAUACGCAAAUUAUGUGGUCCAAAAGAUUCUUGACACCUGUACUGAUAUUCAGCGGGCAAUGUUGCUUAAUCGAAUAAGAACACAUGUGCAUGCUCUGAAGAAAUAUACUUAUGGGAAGCACAUUGUUGCUAGAUUCGAACAGCAAUAUGGGGAAGGAGGACCCCUUGGGCCUUAGAGUUGCUUGACUGAAGGUUUCAUUUGAUCGCAUCUUUGUCCAGCUCCCAAUGUCUAGUUGGGUGCUGCUAGUCUGAAAAAAAAAGGACAAAUGAAUUCUAGCUUGAAGAUUUUUUGAAGACAGCUGUUUAGCAGUCUGGGGACAGUAGUAAAGUGGCAACUUAGUAGGAAAUUGAGGAACUUCUAAUUCCAUAAAAAGUAACAAAUACGAUUGGAAUUCUUAUGUACCUGUGCUGGAAAAUCACAUCAGUCCUGAAAUGAAGUUUGGUGCAUAGACUUGAGAAUCAAACAUCAUGAUCAUGAUGCAGAUCCACUGGUGUGGCCUGUCAAUUGCUAGCGCAGCCGCAACAUGUGAAAGCCUCUCAGCUGAUCCCAUUGUUACAACUUGUGCAGGAAUAACAACCAAAUCAUGCAAGCAUCCUUUGUCUUGAUCAUGUUAAUACAUGACUGCCUCAGAAAGCUUCCACCAUCAAUUACCAGAUUGGAAUUGUAAAGUCAGUAAAUAUGCAUGUGCCACGGAAUGGUUUGUAUAUAUGUUGUGUAGCUCAACUAUUUGGACACAGACGAAAGGAGCAACAGUAGGAAAACAGUUUAGAUUGCAACACAGAUUCAAAGGGAAUGAAAAGCUUCUUGAUAGCUAAUUCUGUAAAAUCGUAUGAUGGGUUUGUUUGGUAAAUGGCUUUUCUUUAUAAGGUAGGAGAGGCUAUACAAAUACAAUGUCUCCUUUUGUACUGCAUUGGAAGCCAUGCAUGUCAAUAGGAAAAGCCAUCUUCCAAAAGGUUUCCCUGUCAAUAGGCUAUGCAGAUGCGUUCAUUGAAUAAAUUAAGAGCCCCUUUGGCAAUGGGAUUUGACAA